rnacentral:rRNA from 1 species
AUUGAACGCUGGCGGCAGGCCUAACACAUGCAAGUCGAGCGGAUGAAGGGAGCUUGCUCCUGGAUUCAGCGGCGGACGGGUGAGUAAUGCCUAGGAAUCUGCCUGGUAGUGGGGGAUAACGUCCGGAAACGGGCGCUAAUACGGCAUACGUCCUGAGGGUGAAAGUGGGGGAUCUUCGGACCUCACGCUAUCAGAUGAGCCUAGGUCGGAUUAGCUAGUUGGUGGGGUAAAGGCCUACCAAGGCGACGAUCCGUAACUGGUCUGAGAGGAUGAUCAGUCACACUGGAACUGAGACACGGUCCAGACUCCUACGGGAGGCAGCAGUGGGGAAUAUUGGACAAUGGGCGAAAGCCUGAUCCAGCCAUGCCGCGUGUGUGAAGAAGGUCUUCGGAUUGUAAAGCACUUUAAGUUGGGAGGAAGGGCAGUAAGUUAAUACCUUGCUGUUUUGACGUUACCAACAGAAUAAGCACCGGCUAACUUCGUG